GGAGAGACUCUUCCUUCUUUAGAAGGGAAAGGAGAGAGGAUCUGACCAGUGGAACCUUGGGGGGAAAGGAAAAGGAAAUAAAAGAGGAGAGAGAGUAAGCUGUCCAGGCAUUGAUCUUCCUGUUUGGGGGAUGCUGCAACGGGAGUUAAUUUUUGGAGGCUGGUGGAGGGAGGAGGGAGGAGGGAGGAGGGAGGUUUCUGUUUGCCUUCUCCGCCUCUCACUCUCCCCUUAAUUCCACUGUUUCCCCCUUUCUUCCCCUGCCAGGGAGAUGCCACCAUGCAAGGAUCCAGAAGACUCACAAUCGGAAAAUAUGAUCCCUGGGGAAAGAUCGGGAUUAGUCACCUAGACUAUCCAUCUUUGUUCUGGAACAGUAGGCUUGAUCAGUGACCUGAGAAAGAUGCUCCUCUGGCUUUUUCUGGUGUUGUCCAGCCCAGCUUCCUCUACAGAUCCAGAAACGGAUGCCUUGGUGGAAAUCUGCAAUGUCUGCUCCUGUGUGUCGGUAGAGAAUGUCCUUUAUGUCAACUGUGAAAAGGUGGCUGUUUACAGACCCAACCAGCUGAAGCCCCCUUGGUCUAAUUUCUAUCACCUCAACUUUCAGAAUAACCUGCUGAUUAUCCUGUAUCCAAACACGUUCCUUAAUUUUAGCCAUGCGGUGUCUCUGCAGCUGGGAAAUAAUAAGCUACAGAACAUUGAAGGAGGAGCGUUUAUGGGUCUCGGCGCGUUAAAACAGUUGCACUUGAACAACAAUGAAUUAAAAGUCCUCCGAGCUGACACUUUCCUUGGCAUUGAGAACUUGGAGUAUCUCCAAGCGGACUACAAUUUAAUCAAAUAUAUCGAGCGGGGAGCCUUCAAUAAACUCCACAAGCUCAAAGUCCUCAUUCUUAAUGACAACCUGAUUUCUCUCCUACCUGAUAAUAUUUUCCGGUUUGUGUCUCUGACCCACUUGGAUAUCAGGGGGAAUCGCAUCCAGAAACUGCCCUACAUCGGCGUUCUGGAGCACAUCGGGCGCAUUGUGGAAUUGCAACUGGAGGACAACCCGUGGAAUUGCACCUGUGACCUUCUGCCUUUGAAGGCCUGGCUGGAGAACAUGCCCUACAACAUCUACAUCGGAGAAGCCAUUUGUGAGACCCCCAGCGAUCUCUAUGGGAGACUUUUGAAAGAGACCAACAAACAAGAACUCUGCUCCAUGGGGACGGGGAGUGAUUUUGAUGUCCGCAUCCUGCCCCCCUCCCAGCUGGAGCCCAGCUUCAGUACCCCCAAUGGUCACACCACACAAACUACGAUGCACCGGUUGGUCACCAGGCCUCCCAAAACGACCAACCCAUCUAAAAUCUCGGGCAUUGUGGCUGGGAAGCCCUUCUCCAGUCGCAAUCUGAGUCAAAUUGUGUCGUUUCAGACCAGGAUGCCCCCUCUGACCCCUUGUCCACACCCCUGCAUUUGUAAAACCUACCCUUCAGACUUGGGAUUAAGCAUCAAUUGCCAAGAGAAAAACAUCCAUUCCCUGGCCGAGCUGGUCCCUAAGCCUCUGAAUGCCAAGAAAUUGCAUGUUAAUGGCAAUUACAUCAAGAAUGUGGAGGUGUCUGACUUUGUCGACUUUGAAGGGCUGGAUUUACUCCAUCUGGGCAGCAAUCAGAUUGUGGCCAUCAAAGGGGAAGUUUUCCACAACCUGAGCAAUUUACGGAGAUUGUAUCUGAACGGCAAUCAGAUUGAGCGGUUGAGUCCCGAAAUGUUUGCCGGGCUGCAUAAUCUUCAGUACCUCUACUUGGAAUACAAUGUCAUCAAAGAGAUUUUAGCAGGCACGUUUGACCUGAUGCCCAACCUGCAGCUCCUCUACUUAAACAACAACUUGCUGCGAAGUUUGCCGGCUUACAUUUUCUCCCGGGCUCCACUCGCUCGGCUGAAUCUGCGCAACAACCAUUUCAUGUACUUGCCGGUGAGUGGUGUGCUAGACCACCUGAAAACCCUGACCCAAAUCGAUCUGGAAGGGAACCCAUGGGAUUGCACCUGCGACUUGGUGGCCCUGAAGCUGUGGCUGGAAAAACUGAAUGAGGGCAUUGUGGUGAAGGAGUUAAAGUGUGAGACCCCCGUGCAGUUUGCCAAGAUUGAACUGAAGUCUCUCAAAAAUGAGAUCCUGUGUCCCAAACUCCUCAAGUCAUCUUUCUUCACCAGCCCGGCGCCUGUGCUGACUUUUACAACCCCUUUGGGCCCUGUCCGCAGUCCUCCUGGGGGUCCAGUCCCCCUGUCCAUUCUCAUCUUGAGCAUCUUGGUGGUCCUCAUUCUGACAGUCUUCGUGGCCUUCUGCCUCCUGGUCUUCGUUCUCCGUCGCAACAAGAAGCCUUCUUCCAAACACGAAGGGCUGGGCAACCCGGAAUGCAGUUCGAUGCAGCUCCAGUUACGGAAGCACGAUCACGCUGGCCAGAAAAAGGACACCUUGGGGGCCGAAGCCUUCAUCCCCCAAACCAUUGAGCACAUGAGCAAAAGACAUUCGUGUGGCUUAAAAGAGGCCGAGACGGGUUUCAUGUUUGCUGAGCCGGUGAGCCAGAAAGUCAUCUUGAGGAACAACAGCGAGAAAGAGAAAGAUCUGCUGCAAACGGAUAUCCGAAAAAGACUGAGUACCAUUGACGAACUGGAUGAAUUAUUACCAGGGCGGGAUUCCAAUAUCUUUAUUCAGAAUUUUCUGGAAAACAAAAAGGAGUACAACAGUAUAGGGAUCAGCGGCUUCGAGAUACGCUAUCCGGAGAAACAGCCGGACCGAAAAAACAAAUCCUUAAUAGGAGGAAAUCACAGUAAAAUUGUGGUGGAGCAAAGGAAAAGUGAAUAUUUUGAACUAAAAGCUAAACUUCAGGGCUCCCCAGAUUACCUGCAAGUCCUCGAAGAGCAAACGGCUUUGAAUAAAAUCUAGGCCAUGCAAUCUGAUUUCCUACAGAGGACUUUUAUUUAAUGAUGCAAGUGCCUUUUGUUGACUUUUCAUUUCCAAAUAUGAUACUCUCCCGAUAGGCAUAGAGGCAGGCAAUCCAGGGGUGUGUGAUAAAAUUAUAGCUCCAAAUAGAUUUUAUUUCUUAAAAACUCUGCCCCAUGAGGAAACGGUAGGGAAAACUGCAAAGACUCUAUUGCCAAGGUGUUGCUUUAUACACAUAUUACACUGAAUUUAACCUCAAGAGGAAUAUAUAUUUUCUACCCUAACUGCAAAACUUUCAUGUCCUUGUGAUUUGUUUAAACAAAUGCACAAGAAGAGAGAGAGAGAAAAUGGGAAACAGAAGAAGCUGUUUAAUGACAGAAAGAGAGAGAAAAUGGGAAACAGAAGAAGCUGGUCCCUAUGCUGGUGAAUUUCACGUGGAUUAAAAUUGCUAAAGGAACUGAAAUCAGUUUCAACCCUAUACAAAGUGAUGGAUCAGCAGCCCUGUUUUAGCGAUUACCAGAGAUUUUACAAACCACAAAAGCAUGCAAAUGAAAGAACCUUCGAUAGUUAUGUGUAAAAUUGGUUACCUUUACAGUCUGCAUCUUGAAAACACUGGAUUUAUAAUGUUAAAAAUUGUGCAGAAAUCUUUUUUUAAAAAAUUAUCGUUCAUUGCAUCCACACAAAAGCAAUUUUGACCAUCUAAUACACGCCAGAAAUCUGCAUAAAAUUGAUUCAGAUGAAACCCAAGUGGCAACAAGGACUGGAAGAAAAAUACUUGAUGUUUAAGACAAACCAACCCCCACCCUCGUGAAACUCCUGUCAACCCCCCAAGGAGUAAUUUAAAAGUCCAUGUGUGUGCUCCUCUGGGGAUGCAGGAACAUGCCUUGCAGUCUUUCCUGAAGGACUUGAUGGAGUUGGAUCCAGGAUGGUAGAGAUGGCAAAGAGGAAGUUGCUGUCUGGGAGAUGUUCUCCCAGGAAUUCACCUAAUCUCCUAGAACUCAAAACCAGCAACAGGUAUUGCUAUGAAGUCUUGCUCAAAUGCACUAACAUUUGCUGUUCUCCCCCAUCUCAUCUCCCUCCUAAAAAAAGAAUUGGAGAAAGCAAACUUAAUUGAAGAGGGGAAGUAAGGAUCUAACCAGCACACUGUGUAUAAAAUCAAUUCCAACCAGUAAUGAGGAAAUAUGGACACCCAGGAGGUCUUUGCAGUGAUGGGAAGAUACUCCAUUGAAACCAAGACCACCAUCAGCAACUAUUUCCAUCUCUUUAUCAAAUCCAGUUGGCUCAAGACAAAAUGAAUUCUCCAUUAGCUUGAGAUCAAUUCAGACAUCAGAGCCUUCUUCUCCAGAAGAAAAAGGAAAGUCCUUUUUCUCACAACAACGUCACCUUGGCAAAAGUGAGGUCAUCAAAUUCCUCAGCUACCAUCAAUACAUCCCCAUCAUCUUCAAUGAAACAUUGAAAUCCAAUCUCAGAACAGUAGAGAGGGGUUUACUGAAGUUGUUGGUUCAACAAUGAAUUACUCCAGGGAAAGAAGAUAGAGUAAAAUAAACCAGGGAGUUAUUGUCUAAUCUCAACACUUGUUCAGAUUUUUCUUCAUGAAGCAGGCAAGAAUAGAUGGUUCUUUAUAUGAUGUCUAAUCUGAGCUCUUCUGGCACGAAAUGGAUCAGCAACUGCUUGCCAGAUGGUUGCAAAACACCAUCACGUGAGCCCCGGGGAUGCUGCGACCGUCAUAAAUAUGAACC